rnacentral:rRNA from 1 species
GACGAACGCUGGCGGCGUGCUUAACACAUGCAAGUCGAACGGAAAGGCCCUGCUUUUGUGGGGUGCUCGAGUGGCGAACGGGUGAGUAACACGUGAGUAACCUGCCCUUGACUUUGGGAUAACUUCAGGAAACUGGGGCUAAUACCGGAUAGGAGCUCCUGCUGCAUGGUGGGGGUUGGAAAGUUUCGGCGGUUGGGGAUGGACUCGCGGCUUAUCAGCUUGUUGGUGGGGUAGUGGCUUACCAAGGCUUUGACGGGUAGCCGGCCUGAGGGGGUGACCGGCACAGUGGGAAUGGGAAUACGACCAGGCCCCGUACGGUAGGCGGGGGUGGGGAGGAGAAAACAGGGGGAGGAGGCAGAAUGAGGAACAGCGACGUCGGGGAAGAGGGCCUUGGGGUUGUAAACGACUUCGCCUUGAAACGAGACGUGAAUGACGGUAAUGGUAAAGAAGCACCGGCUAAAUACGUG